CGGCCGCGUCGACGGCGACGAUCGGUAGCUGGUCUGAGAGGACGAUCAGCCACACUGGGACUGAGACACGGCCCAGACUCCUACGGGAGGCAGCAGUGGGGAAUAUUGCACAAUGGGCGCAAGCCUGAUGCAGCGACGCCGCGUGAGGGAUGACGGCCUUCGGGUUGUAAACCUCUUUCAGUAGGGAAGAAGCGAAAGUGACGGUACCUGCAGAAGAAGCACCGGCUAACUACGUGCCAGCAGCCGCGGUAAUACGUAGGGUGCGAGCGUUAUCCGGAAUUAUUGGGCGUAAAGAGCUCGUAGGCGGUUUGUCGCGUCUGUCGUGAAAGUCCGGGGCUUAACCCCGGAUCUGCGGUGGGUACGGGCAGACUAGAGUGCAGUAGGGGAGACUGGAAUUCCUGGUGUAGCGGUGGAAUGCGCAGAUAUCAGGAGGAACACCGAUGUCGACGCGGCCG
rnacentral:rRNA from 1 species